AAAAAAUUAAUUGAUAAUGGAAAAUAUUUCACAACAAUUUUUGUGCUGAAAAACAAUUAUGUUUAAUAAAAUUGCGUCAUUUGCGUCAAUCAGCAACAUUUUUCAUUUUCGCGUUUCGUCUGGUUUUGAUAAAUGAAUUAAACAUUAGGCUAAUAAAAUUUAAUAAAUGAAAUUCCUAAGAUUUGGUAAUAACACCAAAAGCACUGAAGUGCGAUGGAUUCUAUUUCAUGUCCUCCAUAAAGCUCCAGAGAAUUAUAGAAUUUCUUCUCGGAAAACUCAUCCAACCAUUUUUCAAGGAUUUUAAAACAUGAACGGACUUGAAAUAUGUUAUCAUACAAUAGACGCUAUUGAAAAGGAUAGCAGGGUUAUUGACCGUAGUGACCUUGUUCUCUAUCCCUGAACUAAAUCACCCCAGACACACCCUUGGAAAUAGCAAAGCGACCCCAAUACAUUCCUCAAGUUUACCUUGAACAGUUCUUUAUUCACGUGCAAGUAAUUGAGGCCAGAUUUCUUUUCCUCCUUGGAUGACCUUCUUUCUUCCCGUAUAAAACAUUGGCCAUCCGGAGCCUUCAUCGUCAGUCUUCAUCCAGCAGCUCAUCGAGUAAGAUGGAACUUUCUCGGCGAACUAAACUGGAAAGACUCGACCAGUUGACCCAAUUUUUAGUUUGUGGGUCAACUUUAAAAAAUUCUUUCCGUGUAUUUCUUGUUAGUAGGUCGGGUGGAUUCGGUAGUUACUGAAGAGUCCACUCGACCGACUACUGGAAAUGCACCAAAGAAUGAAUGAAUCCUGCAAAACUUGGUGUUUUAUUUUGACGGAGCAUUUCUUCCGCUCGAGAACAGCAAACAAAAAUGAGUCCAACAAACUGCUUGUCCCAGUUUGUGCCACACGAACGGAGAUAAAAACUUUUCGUUCGAACAUAAAGCAUGUUGCUUAAGGGAAGGGAGGGAGGGACCUGAACGAACGAGUGAAAUCUUUUGACAUUCAAGCGGAUGGAUCUUUAAGCAUCCGCAUUCCGCAAUUUCUCCCAAAAAAUAUGUAAAACAGUGGUGGAAUUGUGGUUGAACAAAAAAGCGAUUCGAUUUUUAAGAAAAUGGGACAAUAAAAAGCAAUUCCAUUUAUUUUCUGAAAAGAAUUGGGACAAAUAAAACACAAUUCUUUUUAUUUCGCCGAAGAAAAAUACUAACUCCGAUCUAUCAUAUAAUAGAGGAACAAAAUGGGACAAUAAAACACAAUUCUUUUCAUUUCGGUGAAUCAAAAAUGGGACAAUAAAUGCAAUUCCAUUUCAUUUAAAAAAAAAUAGUAGAACUUUUGUCAAACUUUUGUUUGAACCCAAUAUUUUCAUCUUGGUGAAUUUAAUUAAAAAAUUGGGACAAUAAAAAGCAAUUCCAUUUCGAUGGAGAGUUAAGGUGUGAAAAAAAUGAGAUGAGAAGAUAUGAGAUGAGAUAAGCUCAUACCGAUAAAGGUGUGAAAAAAUGAGAUGAGAAGAUAUGAGAUGAGAUGAGAAAAGUUUAGAUGAAUUCAGAAAUUUUCUUCUCUCGUCUUAGCUCUGCAAAGAGCCAAAUGGGUAACACGUAAAACAAACAACACAAAAAACAACCAGGGGAAAAAAGGGGGGAAAUUCAAAAUUUGUUAAGUCACUUCGAAAAACUUUACAGAAAAAAAGGAAAGCAAGUGCGAAGAAAGCCAUUAUCGGGGUUACACGAUGAAUUUAGACGUUGAUUUAUCCCUCUAUUCUAGCUUGCUAUGAAAAGCUUUACAGAAAGAAAAAAAUGUUUCCAUAGUCGAUAAAUUGAACUUCGACACGCGAAGAAUUGGCUCGUUUCUCUACAAUUCGUUUACGGUGGGGACACAAAUGGUUUUGGCUUGGUCGAUUUGAUCAAAAAAAAACAAUUGGAGGAAAAACUGCAACAACUUCGAAAAAUUAUGUAAGAAAGUUUUUUUUCUUUUGAAGACGACACGCAGAUAAAAAUAAGAUUCAAUUCAAGAAAGUUACGGGGCUAGAAGAAAAAAGGCUACUUUGCUAGCAAGGGGAAAAUUAACACUCUGCCCAGCAGUUUGUUAAUCAAAGGCCGUCACAAAUAGUCGAAAAAGUCUCCCUUCCAGUUGGGGCGGACAUCAAAGGUUUUCGGGCCACAAAACCAAUCAGUUGGUGACUGAAAAAAUACCUUGUUGAUAGAGCGCAAUCGACUUUACAAAAUAAUGUGUAGAAAAUAAAACCAUUACCAGCUGAAGGCUGGAGGGUCCAGGGGUGAUCCAAUCAUUUUAGUUACUUGUUGGUUCAUUGGGUGGUAGUGGGGGGUCAACAAAGUUCCACCAAAACAGGCGGAAUCAUGAUGAAGAAAAAUCAUUGUUCAAGGAAAGCGGAAAGUAUCCGCUGGAAUCGAUCAAAAAUAAGUUCUACUUUUACAAAAGUUCUAUACUUUUGUAAAUUUCAAUGGCUUACAGAUAGGUAAUUCAUCAUUACGGAUGAUUCUGGAUUAAAACGGACGGAAAAAUAGGAUGCAAGAAAUUUUCUUGCCUGAAUAUAGUGUUCGCUGUCGACGGAAUAUUGACCGUUUAAAGUUAUAACGGUUAAUCGAUCGUCAAUCGAUUGAUUAUCCGUGCAGCAGUUACAAAAAUGUUUCGAUUGAGUCACUUGUACGGCAAUCAAGAACCGUCAAGAACUAUAAGUGACAAAGUGACAAUCAACACGGGCGGAAAUCAAGAUCGACGUUGGACUAACAGGUUCGCUUCCGCCCGGAAUUUAAAAAAAAAAGAAAAGAAGAAAGAAAUGUGUUACAUACCUAUCGCUUUGGAACGUGCGGGAUGCAUGGCAUCCGCCGCGUGCAAUCCGCAAAACAGGAAACCUCUCUCAUUUUCAGAUUCCCGACAGCUACUCCGAUUGGAUUCCGGCGCUGAGGAUGUGGAAGAGAAAUCACUUUCCAUCGAUCCGCGUGCUGUCCUGCUCUGCGAGGGAGGAACCAAGAAUCCAUCUAAUUUCCUUACGUCACUUUAUUAAAGUUUGUAAAUUACCCAAAUUGUUCGUGUCUGUCGAUUUUGCCCUGAAUGUAUACUUGUAUAAUAAUCAUGCCUGUGUUUGAAAAUAAAUUUGCUUAACCGCAACUAAAUUGUACAGUUUUACUUUGUCAAAUGACUCAUGAGACGAACAAGAUAAAGUACUUAAAUUGCUACUAAUUAACUAAUAACCUUUUUUAACUCUUACAGAUUCGCGGUGCAUUUCCUUAUUUACUUAAUUUAUUCUCUAGGUAAAAUUUUGAACGUGUUUAACUGUUUACAAUUGCAGAGCCCAGGCUGCCGUGAAACUUUUACUACUCCACGGAACUAUACUGGUUACAAUGGUUCGACUGAAUCCAAUAUUUCGUACAGUGGAAGGAUCAAGAGUCAAAAUCAAAGAAAAUCUGUGUCAAAUAACUGUGAAGUGCAACAGUUUUCAGUUCGGCUUUCACCCAAGUUAUUAUGGACUGACGGUCGACUUGCUGGCUUGAUACAGGUGCGUGAAAGGUAAGUCAAAUCCCAAGAGGAAAAGAUCCAGUCUUCUUGUAUCUUUAAAUCUUUUGAUGUUGAGUUGAAUCUGUGUUGUCAAAUUUAUAAUGUACAGUGCCAAACGACCAAAGCCCAAAUAGUGCAAAAUUCAAUUUUAUACCUGACGGAGGAUAUCCUAUUGAAUAAGAGUUCAUCUGAUUCAACAUGACAGCUGUUUAAUUCUGGUGGUGGAGGUCCAAUUUUGAGUGUUGUGGAAAUAUCUGGUGGUGAAAUUUGUGGGCUUUAAUAACCAGUUUCACAUGCCUCCCAGCUGUUUCCGUAAUUUCCUGUCUAUCAUAGCCUAGCCCUUGCAAGAAGUUUUCGGCACAAACUCAGGUGAUUAGGUAUUUAUUGGUGCCAUCCAAAGGGGAGCCAAUACACAUUCACCAUACUGCAA